UGGCCGAACAAGUCUGUCGGGAAAUCCAUCCGCUCAACGGAUGGGCGUCCGGCGGAAACUGUUCGGCUUGGGACCGGAAGACCUGAGGGGUACGUCUGGGGUAGGAGUGAAAUCCCGUAAUCCUAGACGGACCGCCGGUGGCGAAAGCGCCUCAGGAAGACGGAUCCGACAGUGAGGGACGAAAGCUAGGGUCACGAACCGGAUUAGAUACCCGGGUAGUCCUAGCUGUAAACGAUGCUCACUAGGUGUGGCACUGGCUACGAGCCAGUGCUGUGCCGUAGGGAAGCCGUGAAGUGAGCCGCCUGGGAA
rnacentral:rRNA from 1 species